AGUGAAACAAAAUGGAGUGCAAGCAUCUUUUGGGGAAGAUGGAGCCACGGGAGCUUUCUCAGACUUGAAAAAAGGCAGGAUUGGCCUUUUAUAAGAACCUUUUUCCCAGCAAACCUUUCUGGCAGAGACAGAAGCUCUAAGAGGUGGCCAUUUUGAAUUGCCUGUUUUUCACUGACUCUUUCACACCUUCCACUGUUACCCUCGCUCAGGACACCCCAGCACUCUGCAGAAUGGAGCCAAAGCUGCCCCUGGGCACUCCGGUGCUUCCUCUGGGCUGGUUGCUGUGAGCCUGGCAGCAC